rnacentral:rRNA from 1 species
GAUGAACGCUGGCGGCGUGCCUAAUACAUGCAAGUCGAGCGAAUGGAUUAAGAGCUUGCUCUUAUGAAGUUAGCGGCGGACGGGUGAGUAACACGUGGGUAACCUGCCCAUAAGACUGGGAUAACUACGGGAAACCGGGGCUAAUACCGGAUAACAUUUUGAACCGCAUGGUUCGAAAUUGAAAGGCGGCUUAGGCUGUCGCUUAUGGAUGGACCCGCGUCGCAUUAGCUAGUUGGUGAGGUAACGGCUCCCCAAGGCAACGAUGCGUAGCCGACCUGAGAGGGUGAGCGGCCACACUGGGACUGAGACACGGCCCAGACUCCUACGGGAGGCAGCAGUAGGGAAUCUUCCGCAAUGGACGAAAGUCUGACGGAGCAACGCCGCGUGAGUGAUGAAGGCUUUCGGGUCGUAAAACUCUGCUGUUAGGGAAGAACAAGUGCUAGUUGAAUAAGCUGGCACCUUGACGGUACCUAACCAGAAAGCCACGGCUAACUACGUGCCAGCCGCCGCAGUAA